UGGUGAUGAUGUAUAAACUCACGAUGGUCUUCCUAGCCCUCUCUGGUGAAUGAGAGGCUGCUGAAAAUGCCAAUCUGGCAGUCACUGAACCAUAAAG
ensembl:snoRNA small nucleolar RNA SNORD35